rnacentral:rRNA from 1 species
AUUGAACGCUGGCGGCAGGCCUAACACAUGCAAGUCGAGCGGAUGAAGGGAGCUUGCUCCUGGAUUCAGCGGCGGACGGGUGAGUAAUGCCUAGGAAUCUGCCUGGUAGUGGGGGAUAACGUCCGGAAACGGGCGCUAAUACCGCAUACGUCCUGAGGGAGAAAGUGGGGGAUCUUCGGACCUCACGCUAUCAGAUGAGCCUAGGUCGGAUUAGCUAGUUGGUGGGGUAAAGGCCUACCAAGGCGACGAUCCGUAACUGGUCUGAGAGGAUGAUCAGUCACACUGGAACUGAGACACGGACCAGGCUCCUACGGGAGGCAGCAGUGGGGAAUAUUGGGCAAUGGGCGAAAGCCUGAUCCAGCCAUGCCACGUGUGUGAAGAAGGUCUUCGGAUUGUAAAGCACUUUAUGUUGGGAGGAAGGGCAGUAAGUUAAUACCUUGCUGUUUUGACGUUACCAACAGAAUAAGCACCGGCUAACUUCGUG